AUAUUUUUACAAAUGUCUAAAUUUUAAUUGAUGAAAACGACAAUGGGCUAAUAAUAGACUAGCCAUGUAUUAUGAUCACAGGCCCAUUUAGAAAGAUGGUAGUGGGCCCAUGUGUAAUGGGAUCGUGAGCCCAAUACCAAAGCCCACGUUGCCUUUCUGAAAUGUACUCCAACGUUUAUCAGUAACAAAGCGAAGAAAAGAAGAAGACGAAGACGAAGACGAAUACGAAGGAUUCGAAUUAGGGUUUGGAGAAAAGAUGGCGUUUUUGAAGGGAGAACCACUGAUAAGAAAGCUGGCCUUGGUAUCUAAGUACGCCGUUUUACCUGGCGCCAUGAUCGCCGCUCUCGUAUACUCGCCCCCCGAUUUCGUCUACUACUCCAACAACAACCCCAAACCCAGCAAAUAGAUUUCUGGCCAUCUUGACUAAAUUGGUUAUGGAUGUAAGAGUUUAGUAUUGUAUGUAAUAAGCCUUUCUGGUCUGUAAUACAAUUGCUCAAUUUUGUGCUCAUCGAAGAAGUGAUGGUUGUACUUGUUUUUCAUAAGGAAUAAUACUGACCAGGAGAUUUCUGAAGAUACUUUAUUUGAUUUCUUGUCUUAUAAAUAAUAUUGUUUUCAAUGAUUGUAAACUUGGUUCAAUUGACUUGAAUUGUUAAACAACAAUCAUUGUCCUUUGAAGCAUGAUUUGUUAAUUACGAUGUUGAAAAUAGAGUUUAAAUAUUCAGUUGCACCUACA